rnacentral:rRNA from 1 species
GACGAACGCUGGCGGCGUGCUUAACACAUGCAAGUCGAACGAUGAAGCACCAGCUUGCUGGUGUGGACUAGUGGCGAACGGGUGAGUAACACGUGAGUAACCUGCCCCUCACUUUGGGAUAAGCCUGGGAAACUGGGUCUAAUACUGGAUACGACCGCCCUCUGCAUGGUGUGUUGGUGGAAAGUUCUUGUGGUGGGGGAUGGACUCGCGGCCUAUCAGCUUGUUGGUGGGGUAGUGGCCUACCAAGGCGACGACGGGUAGCCGGCCUGAGAGGGCGACCGGCCACACUGGGACUGAGACACGGCCCAGACUCCUACGGGAGGCAGCAGUGGGGAAUAUUGCACAAUGGGCGAAAGCCUGAUGCAGCGACGCCGCGUGAGGGAUGACGGCCUUCGGGUUGUAAACCGCUUUCGCCAGGGACGAAGCGAACGUGACGGUACCUGGUGAAGAAGCACCGGCUAACUACGUG